rnacentral:rRNA from 1 species
AGAGUUUGAUUAUGGCUCAGGAUGAACGCUAGCUACAGGCUAACACAUGCAAGUCGAGGGGUAGCAGGGUAGCAAUACCGCUGACGACCGGCGCACGGGUGAGUAACACGUAUCCAACCUUCCCAUAACUCAGGGAUAGCCUUUCGAAAGAAAGAUUAAUACCUGAUAGUACUUUUUCAAGGCAUCUUGAGAAAGUUAAAGAUUUAUUGGUUAUGGAUGGGAUGCGUUCCAUUAGAUAGUUGGUGAGGUAACGGCUCACCAAGUCUUCGAUGGAUAGGGGUUCUGAGAGGAAGGUCCCCCACAUUGGUACUGAGACACGGACCAAACUCCUACGGGAGGCAGCAGUGAGGAAUAUUGGUCAAUGGGCGAGAGCCUGAACCAGCCAAGUAGCGUGAAGGAUUAGAAGGUCCUAUGGAUUGUAAACUUCUUUUAUAGUAGAAUAAAGUGAUCCACGUGUGGAUUUUUGUAUGUAUACUAUGAAUAAGGAUCGGCUAACUCCGUGCCAGCCGCAGC